GAUGAACGCUGGCGGCGUGCCUAAUACAUGCAAGUCGAGCGAAUGGAUUAAGAGCUUGCUCUUAUGAAGUUAGCGGCGGACGGGUGAGUAACACGUGGGUAACCUGCCCAUAAGACUGGGAUAACUCCGGGAAACCGGGGCGAAUACCGGACAACAUUUUGAACCGCAUGGUUCGAAAUUGAAAGGCGGCUUCGGCUGUCACUUAUGGAUGGACCCGCGUCGCAUUGGCUAGUUGGUGAGGUAACGGCUCACCAAGGCAACGAUGCGUAGCCGACCUGAGAGGGUGAUCGGCCACACUGGGACUGAGACACGGCCCAGACUCCUACGGGAGGCUGCAGUCGAGAAUAUUUAGCAAUGGGCGAAAGCCUGACUAUGCGACGCCGCGUGCAGGAUGAAGGUCUUCGGAUUGUAAACUGCUUUUGUUAGGGGAGAAACCUGAAACGUUAACACCGUUUCAGCUGACGGUACCUGACGAAUAAGCCACGGCAAACCCUGUGCCAGCAGCCGCCGUAA
rnacentral:rRNA from 1 species